GCCUGAUUUCCAAACCCCAAUACUGCUGUAAGCAAGCCUGAUGCCCACCCCACCCCACGCUCAUCAUUACAUUUAUAGAUAGUCUGUCACACCCACAUUUUAGACAAGUAAAAACAGGUGAACACACUGCCUCUUAUUAGUACACUCCUGCAUGUUCUUAACCCAUAAAACUUAAUAUUUACCUGCUCUUGAUAUUAUUUCCAAUUUACUUUUUCCCAGUUUAGCAAUGAUCUGUCUUCUCCUCCUCUUUAUUUCCUCCUUCUCCCUCGGUAUAAAAAUCUCUCCUUACACCCACUUCACUCAUC